AUGCAUGUGGUAGAGUGGUAAUAGGCUUGGUCUUUUGACCAAGAGGUAUGAGUUCAAUCCCAAUCAACCAAU
rnacentral:tRNA from 1 species